CGAUGGAUAGGGGUUCUGAGAGGAAGGUCCCCCACAUUGGAACUGAGACACGGUCCAAACUCCUACGGGAGGCAGCAGUGAGGAAUAUUGGUCAAUGGGCGAGAGCCUGAACCAGCCAAGUAGCGUGAAGGAUGACUGCCCUAUGGGUUGUAAACUUCUUUUAUAAAGGAAUAAAGUCGGGUAUGGAUACCCGUUUGCAUGUACUUUAUGAAUAAGGAUCGGCUAACUCCGUGCCAGCAGCCGCGGUAAUACGGAGGAUCCGAGCGUUAUCCGGAUUUAUUGGGUUUAAAGGGAGCGUAGAUGGGUUGUUAAGUCAGUUGUGAAAGUUUGCGGCUCAACCGUAAAAUUGCAAUUGAUACUGGCAGUCUUGAGUACAGUUGAGGUAGGCGGAAUUCGUGGUGUAGCGGUGAAAUGCUUAGAUAUCACGAAGAACUCCGAUUGCGAAGGCAGCUUGCUGGACUGUAACUGACGCUGAUGCUCGAAAGUGUGGGUAUCAAACAGGAUUAGAUACCCUGGUAGUCCACACAGUAAACGAUGAAUACUCGCUGUUUGCGAUAUACAGUAAGCGGCCAAGCGAAAGCGUUAAGUAUUCCACCUGGGGAGUACGCCGGCAACGGUGAAACUCAAAGGAAUUGACGGGGGCCCGCACAAGCGGAGGAACAUGUGGUUUAAUUCGAUGAUACGCGAGGAACCUUACCCGGGCUUAAAUUGCAACUGACGGAACCGGAAACGGUUCUUUCUUCGGACAGUUGUGAAGGUGCUGCAUGGUUGUCGUCAGCUCGUGCCGUGAGGUGUCGGCUUAAGUGCCAUAACGAGCGCAACCCUUGUUGUCAGUUACUAACAGGUUCUGCUGAGGACUCUGACAAGACUGCCAUCGUAAGAUGUGAGGAAGGUGGGGAUGACGUCAAAUCAGCACGGCCCUUACGUCCGGGGCUACACACGUGUUACAAUGGGGGGUACAGAGGGCCGCUACCACGCGAGUGGAUGCCAAUCCCAAAAACCUCUCUCAGUUCGGACUGGAGUCUGCAACCCGACUCCACGAAGCUGGAUUCGCUAGUAAUCGCGCAUCAGCCACGGCGCGGUGAAUACGUUCCCGGGCCUUGUACACACCGCCCGUCAAGCCAUGGGAGCCGGGGGUACCUGAAGUGCGUAACCGCAAGGAGCGCCCUAGGGUAAAACUGGUGACUGGGGCUAAGUCGUAACAAGGUAGCCGUACCGGAAGGUGCGGCUG
rnacentral:rRNA from 1 species